rnacentral:misc_RNA from 1 species
GGGCCGAGCCUCCAGCGCC